rnacentral:misc_RNA from 1 species
UCUCCGUAGGUGAACCUGCGGAGGGAUCAUUAAGAAUUGAACAGCAGUGUUAGGCGGAUUAGCCCGGCCGGAAUCACGGAUCGGGGCCCCUUCUCGCAAGUCGAGGGGGGAUUGCCUCCGCCUGGCACUGUUGCCCAUUCUAACCCUUUGUGAACUACAACUCUGUUGCUUCGGGGGCGACCCCGCCGUUUCGGCGGUGGCGCUCCCGGUAGCCAAUUAUUAAACUCUGCAUCUCUUGCGUCGGAGUCUUAAAGAAAUUUAAACAAAACUUUCAACAACGGAUCUCUUGGUUCUGGCAUCGAUGAAGAACGCAGC